GACGAACGCUGGCGGCGUGCUUAACACAUGCAAGUCGAACGAAGUGGCGAACGGGUGAGUAACGCGUAAUCAACCUGCCCUUCAGAGGGGGACAACAGUUGGAAACGACUGCUAAUACCUCAUACUUCAGGAGGGGAUUGCGUCGGAUUAGCUAGUUGGAUGGGUAACGGCCCACCAAGGCGAUGAUCAGUAGCCGGUCUGAGAGGAUGGACGGCCACAUUGGGAACGGGAGACGGGCCAGACGCCUACGGGAGGUAGCAGUGGGGAAUCUUCCGCAAUGGACGAAAGUCUGACGGAGCAAAGCCGCGUGAGUGAUGACGGCCUUCGGGGUGUAAAGCUCUGUUAAGCGGGACGCGGUACCGGAAGAGGAAGCCACGGCUAACUACGUGCCAGCAGCCGCGGUAAUAC
rnacentral:rRNA from 1 species